GAUUAGCUCAGCGGUAGAGUAGUCGGCUGUUAACCGAUUGGUCGUAGGUUCGAAUCCUACAUC
rnacentral:tRNA from 1 species